rnacentral:rRNA from 1 species
AUUGAACGCUGGCGGCAUGCCUUACACAUGCAAGUCGAACGAUAACGCGGGGCAACCUGGCGACGAGUGGCGAACGGGUGAGUAACGCAUCGGAACGUGCCCAAUCGUGGGGGAUAACGUAGAGAAUUUACGCUAAUACCGCAUGAGAUCUAAGGAUGAAAGCAGGGGAUCGCAAGACCUUGCGCGAUUGGAGCGGCUGAUGUCAGAUUAGGUAGUUGGUGGGGUAAAGGCCCACCAAGCCGACGAUCUGUAGCUGGUUUGAGAGAACGACCAGCCACACUGGGACUGAGACACGGCCCAGACUCCUACGGGAGGCAGCAGUGGGGAAUUUUGGACAAUGGGCGAAAGCCUGAUCCAGCAAUGCCGCGUGCAGGAAGAAGGCCUUCGGGUUGUAAACUGCUUUUGUACGGAACGAAAUAGCUCUGGUUAAUACCCGGAGUUGAUGACGGUACCGUAAGAAUAAGCACCGGCUAACUACGUGCCAGCCGCCGCAGUAA